rnacentral:rRNA from 1 species
GACGAACGCUGGCGGCGUGCUUAACACAUGCAAGUCGAACGGAAAGGCCCUUCGGGGUACUCGAGUGGCGAACGGGUGAGUAACACGUGGGUGAUCUGCCCUGCACUUUGGGAUAAGCCUGGGAAACUGGGUCUAAUACCGAAUAUGAUCAUCGGCUUCAUGGUCGGUGGUGGAAAGCUUUUGCGGUGUGGGAUGGGCCCGCGGCCUAUCAGCUUGUUGGUGGGGUAAUGGCCUACCAAGGCGACGACGGGUAGCCGACCUGAGAGGGUGACCGGCCACACUGGGACUGAGAUACGGCCCAGACUCCUACGGGAGGCAGCAGUGGGGAAUAUUGCACAAUGGGCGCAAGCCUGAUGCAGCGACGCCGCGUGAGGGAUGACGGCCUUCGGGUUGUAAACCUCUUUCAGCACAGACGAAGCGCAAGUGACGGUAUGUGCAGAAGAAGGACCGGCCAACUACGUG